rnacentral:rRNA from 1 species
CAGUAGCCGCGGGAAAACGUAGGGUGCAAGCGUUAAUCGGAAUUACUGGGCGUAAAGCGUGCGCAGGCGGUUAUAUAAGACAGAGGUGAAAUCCCCGGGCUCAACCUGGGAACUGCAUUUGUGACUGUAUAGCUAGAGUACGGCAGAGGGGGAUGGAAUUCCGCGUGUAGCAGUGAAAUGCGUAGAUAUGCGGAGGAACACCGAUGGCGAAGGCAAUCCCCUGGGCCUGUACUGACGCUCAUGCACGAAAGCGUGGGGAGCAAACAGGAUUAGAUACCCCCGUAGUCCCUGUCUCUUAUAC